rnacentral:lncRNA from 1 species
CCCUCUUCAUCUCAAAUUCAGAAAGCGCCCGUCAUUUCUCGUUAGGGAGGCUGGAUAAUUUCGGAAAUUGAUGGAUGCUUAUAGCAUACACAAGAAGAGCAUUUUUGCAACAACAGAACCUUUUAUCUGGCUUACAGGCAGCUAAAAACAUCUCCAACCCAUGCUUUUUAGCUGUCUUUACUGAGACUAAUGUUCACAAACAUCAUUUUGAAAGAGGGCUGCAGUAUGCCAAAGUGGGAAGAGCGCAUCUCAGGAUGCAGACGCACUCGGGGGCUGGGUGUCCCCGGGGAGGUCAUUUCUCCCCUCUGAGCCUCAAUUUCUUUAUCCGCCAUGUGGGCUUAUGUGAGCAAAGGAGGCUGGCCCAGAUGAGCCGCUGGUGCUUGAAGGCUCUUAGGCUGAACCCAGAAUUUCAAGAGCGUGUUCUUGUGCAGGCGCUAGGUCCAAGUGGCUUACUGUGGGGAUCUGGGGUCUCAGAGGACUGACCCCACAAAAUGUGUCCCCUCUCCCCAGCCUGGGCAGGCAAGGCUGGGCCUGCAGACUCCUCACCAGCCCUUCAAGCUCAGGACCCCAAGCCAAAUUCCUUAUCACCUCCCCUGCCCCCACCUUUUCCACUCUCCCCCCAUGCGCGUCCUCCCACCGCCCGGCUCACUGCGCACAGCCCCGGGGACUUCUUGACGAUUCUCAAUCCUGACAGGCAGUUGGAGACUCAGCGCCUUGCAGUUGACCUCUGCCCAGAAUGCUCUUGCCCCAGAUCCUCACGUGGCCCCCACCUGGCUCCUCUGGUCCUGCUCAGAUGUCUCCCAUGGAGGAGGCCUUCUCUGACCCUCGGCCUAAUGAGCACCCGGUCCCUCCACGUCUCCUCCGUCUGCUUUGUGGUCCUUCACAGUGCUUAUCACUAGCCAGCCCUGGUGUCUGGUGGUUAAGAGCCAGUGCUCUCACUGCCGGGGCCCGGGUUCGUUUCCUGGUCAGGGAACCACAUCACCCGCCUGUUGGGUGUCAUACUGUGGCAGCUGCAUGUUGCUGUGAUGCUGAAAGCUAUGUCACUGGUAUUUCAGAUACCAGCAGGGUCACCCGUGAUGGACAGGUUUCGGCGGAGCUUCCAGACUAAGACAGACUGGGAAGAAGGACCCGGCCACCCACUUCUGAAAAAAUUGGCCAUGAUAACGCUGUGAAUAGCAGCAGAGCAUCAUCUGAAACAGUGCCAGAGGAUGAGAGGAUGGCGCAAAAAGAUGGGCAGGCGUCUGCUCUGCUCUGCUCUACACGGGGUCGCUAGGAGUUGGAAUCGACUCAACGGCACUAAGCACAAACUCCUCACUACCUGCCGUGUGCAGUCUGACUGUCCGCGCCGGAAUAUCAGCUUCCUACAGUCUCAUGUUCAUUGCCGUACCCCCAGCACCUAGAACCUGGCACCUAGCAUGUAGUCGGUGCUCUAAAAGGUAUUUGUUGGAAAGCAAAUAUGCAGAGUAGGGAGAAGGCUCCCCCACUGCCACCCUCUGGCCGUGUGCGCUUUGAGAUAGCCACCCAGCCCACAGGAUGGUACGGCUGGUGGAGUUCUUGGAGACUCAGUUGAACAAAGUGGAGCCUGAGGUCUGUUGGAGAAGGGAGCUCAUUCGCUCAGCUCCAGGAGGCCACAGAUCGAGUUGUGCUGGGCCAUUUUGCUGAUAUCAAGUACCUGUGGCUUCGUCACCUGCACAGGCCAACCCAGCCCACACCAGGUCUCCAGCCAUUGCCUCAGCUGAACUCCCGUCCCUGAGACAAGAUGCUAAAGGAUGCCACUUCUGGUCUCAGACCAGGAGUCCCCUUCUUCCUCCAGAGGGGAACAGGAUGGAGAGGACCUGAGAGUGUGGAGUCUGUGAGGCUGGGUAUUUUACACACAUGCCUUUUCUCCUGUCGUGUCCGCCACAGCCCAGUGGCAUAGGAGCAAUUGUCCUUAUUUUAUGAAUGAGCAGAACGAGGCCCUGAGAAGUGAUGCUUGCCCAGGUCCUGCUAAGCCAGGAAGUGGCCCAGCAAAGCACUUCUCUGUUUCCUCUUCUGUUAAAAGCCAUCUGGGGUAGGGUUGCAGCCAGGGAGCUCCCUGCCCCAGAGGGAGAGCUGUCAGCCAGUGACGAGCUCAUCUCCUCCUCCCUCCCACACCACCCGCCAGUGUCACAUGGCGCCGGGAGGGAGCGGAGUCUGCGGGGGCGCCUCUCCUGGGAGGCUGUGCAGGGAGGCCUGGGAGCUGCACCCUGUGGAGGCUGGGGGGGGGGGGGGCACGGGAAGGGGAUGUGCACACGUUCAGGUGCCCACACGUGCUCUCUCGCUCUUUCUCUGCAGCUCCUCUGGAGGCCUGUCAGCCUGCUGGGGGGACUCGCACAGUGGAAGUCUCAAGUAUCAGAAUGUCAGGGAACCUUGGAGACCAGUGUGGCCAGAACCUCUCCCUUGUCAGUAAAAUCUAGAGCCUUGAAUGUAAGAAUUAGGGUGCAUGUGGGAUGAAGUCAGGGUCUUUUCAAGAACACACAGUGAGCAUAUCCAUUAAAUGCAAGGGCUCCAGUGUCAGACCACCAGGCUUAGAAUCUGGGCUCUUUCCCAGCUGGUUGACUGUAGACAAGUUCCUUGACCUCUCUGAGCCUCCAUUUCCUCAUCUACUUUAAGACAGUAUUUACUGAGCUCUUGCUUAGGGACAGGUAUGGUUCUAAGCUCUGUUCCUGUAUUUACUCCUCAAAACAACCCUAUGAAGCAAAUAGCUUUGUCAUCUAAUUUAGAUCUGAGGAAACUGAGGCACCGAGUGGUUAGGUCAUUGUCCAAGGCCACACAGCUGGGAAGCAAUGGAGCCAGGAUUUGAUCCCAGACAAUGAGGCUCUAGAGUUCCUGAGCUCAAUCACUAUUCCAUCUACCGUCUACUAAGAAUUAAAUGAAGUAAGGUGUACUAAGCACCGAGCACUUACAGGUGCUGGCUCGAAGUCCGCACUCAAUUAGUGAUUAUUAUCAUUAGCAACUAAGUCAUGGGCCUUUUGAGAAUCUAAUGAAAGUCACAGGCCUUCUUGGUGAAGACUGCACGUGCACACACAAACACCGCCUGUGGUUUCGGGGGCUCCUGCUCCUGAAGUCCAGCCACGAACCCGCCUUGGGACCUCUGCACGAGCCCAGCCCUGUUAUUGCACAGAAGCAAGGGAGAGGAGAGGGCGUGGUGAGCGUGUUCACAUCACAUAUUUCACUUGCUCCUCCGAGGCGGGUGCUGCUAGCCCGUUGGGCAGAUGAGAAAACUGAGGGAAAUGUCGAGAUCUCACAGCAAGCUGGCAGCAGACGUGACUCUCCUCUUCUUGCGGGGCUGCACCCUUCCCCCUGGCUGGGUUGCCUGCCCUGAAGCAGAGGUGAGGAACGGAGUCCCCGGGGCUGUGCCCUGAGGCGGUACACACUCAGUGAAGGAUAUUUGUGGAGCAAGCCAGUGAAAUGGGGUCAUCCGCGGGUUCACACUGGGCCAAGCCAUGUCCAAGGCUGGAUCUCAGAGGUUCACCUGGCCCAGCUCAUCUCCCAGUCCUGCGUGGCUCUUCAUGAGAAGGAGACAGAGGAAGAAAGGAAGGAAGUCAGCAGCCACUCCCACAGCCCCCUCUUGCACAGGCAAGGAAACUGAGGCCCGAGGUUGACUGACACACACAGUCACACACCGGGGCAGCAAGGUCUGGCCAUCGGGUCUCAGGCGGCGGUGGUCAGAAGGAAGGAGGACGGAACUCGGAGUCAGAACACUUAGGUCCAAAUCCUGUCCUUCGUUACUGCUGUGACUUCAGGCAAAUUGCAUGGCCAGUUUCCACAUCUGCAAAAUGAUGACAGCAUCUAUCUUGUAAAGCUGCUCUUGGAAUGAAACAAUUUGACAGUUGUCUAAUUGAGGCCAUCCAGCAUGUUCCCUCAUCUGUCAAACGACGACAGGUUGUUGUGAGGAUUAAGUGAGAACGUAGGUAGAGUGUCUGGCAUAAAACAAGCGUCCAGUAAGUGGCAGCUAUUACUGUAGGUGCUAUAGUUACAACGCUGAGUCCCACAGGAUAUGCCUCCAUGAACGUUGCAUGAAGGGGUAGAUGGACCAAGAGACAGGCUGACAGGUUGGUUGGCAGAGCAGUGGGAGUGGAGUGGGGAGAUGGAUGGAUGGGAGGAAGGUGAGGGAAUGGACGGAAGGGCAGGGAAGUUGGUAAGGGGAUAGGUGGAUGAUGGAUAUGUAGACCAACGCACAGGCAGAGAGAGAGGUUUUUGGGCAAACAAUAGGUGUAAGAGAAAGAGCAUAGGAUGGAUGAAUGGAUGGAUAGAUGGAUGGAUGGAUGGAUGGGUCGGAUGGAUGAGAUGAUGGACCAGUAACAAUCAGACAGACUGGUGGCUGUUCAGAUCAGUGGAUGGAUAGAUGGAUGGAUGGAUGGAUGGAUGGAUGGAAGGCUAGAUAUGUGGGUGGGGCAAUUGGAUAGGUGGGUGUAUGGAUGAAUGCACGGACCAAUGGGCAAGAAAAUAGAGAGAUGAAUGAAUGGAAGAUCAGAGAGUGGAUGAAUGGCUGGUGUUCCCUCCCCUUGAACUGCAGCUGAGGAGCUGGCAGUGGCAGCUACAGAACCACCAUGAACAUCCACGGGGUGGGGAGAGAGGUCAGGAGCUUAUUGCUCCAACAGGGUGACCCCAGAAGUGGGCAGUGAGUGGCUGCUUAUUGUGUUUCGAUGUCUGUGCUUGGAAUAGAAGCCCUGGGAGCAGGGUGACUGGGAUGAGGAGCUGCACAGGGUCCCCAUCCUCACAUGCACACGGACUCCUCAAUGCCGGUGCAGGCGGGAGGCUGGCCCCAGGAGGGCGCAGCUUCUGCCAGAGAUGGCAGCCUAGAAGGGACCCUUAGCUGGCGAGGCCUUUGGCAAAGGCAAACCAGAGUGUGUCCCUGGAGACUCCUUGGAUCUGGGCCAGAAGAACAAAACGUCCCGUUCACCGAGGGCUCUGCAGCGGGAGGGGCCCUGCUCCAGGAGGCAGGAGCCUUGGGCGUCACAGCUGGCACAGCCGCGGAUGUGCUGAGAGGCCCCGGACAAGCCCCUUCCCCUCCGCGUCCCAGCCUCCUUUCUUCAUCUGUAAUUGGAGCCAAAUGGCCUCCAAGCUCCCUCUGAGCGCUGACACUUUAGGACCACCUGAUUCUCAGGGUUCUGGAGCAUCGCAGGGAGGGGGAGGGGCCGUGGGCGGGUCCUGGGCGGAGGAGGGUGGUUAGCUAGCGGGUGGCCAUUCCACUCCUCAGACAGUGACCCAGGGUCUAAGGGCCCAUUGCAGGCUUUGAGCGUUUAGUGGACAAUGAGGACACCUUGCGAUGGCUCCCCACUUGGCUCAAGGAAAGCUGACGUCCACCCAAUGGCCACCGUGGUCUGUGACUCUGCCCCACCCCCCACCUCUCUGGUUUCUCCUCCUGCCACUGCCCUGUCUCUAACCCCCUAGGACCACACUGGCCUCUUCAGUGUUGCUUGAAUAUGCCAGGCAGCCCCCUCCUUGCUCUCGUGGUCACUCCUUCACCUCCCGCAGGACCUGUGUGUUUAUUGGCGUCUUCCCCCAGCAGUAGUAUUUGCGGUUAUCCAAUCGGGUAGUGUGAUGGUGAUGAGGGUGAGCGAAGAUGGAGCGCUCACCGCGUGCCAGGCGCGGGGCUCACGCACUCCCUGAUUCUGCAGGCGCCCCAGUGAGGUGGAUACUAUUAUUAUGUCCUAGUUCACAGAGGAGAGUCGAGGCUCAGAGAGGGAGAUUACUCAAGGCCCCACAGCAAGCCUGGGACCGAAUUGCCAGAGACGAGUCCAGGGUCAUCGCGAGAGCUCACGGAGUUAGCAGAGUCCCAGUGCUGCCACCACAGGACCUUGACUUGGGGAGAGUCCCUUUCUCUCUCCGAGCCUCAGUUUCUCCAUCUGUAAAAUGGGACAGCAGCAGCCUCGCCGUUACAGGGCUGUUGUGAGGUCUGAGGGUGCCAGUGGGUAUGAAUGCUUUAUGUAAGAACUGUGCCUUCUUGGCUGUGGGCCUGUGUCGCUGGGUGUUAAGGCACCACUGGAACCCCCACAUGCCGGGGGCAGGGAGACCUAUGCUCCCCUAGACAAGCCCAGGGCCCUGAGCUCGGUUUAGGAUAAUCCAGGAUAAUGUCACUAACUGGCUUAGGAUCGGGGAUCAAGUCCCUCCAUUCUAGGCCGCUCUUUCCUCCACCCCACUGGACACUGCCUCCAGGCGACUUCUCACAGCCUUGGGGACAGGGCUGGCCCUAAGCGGCAAGGCGGGCGGGGACAGGAAGGCCUCAGAGCUUUCCCAGGCUGGAGGCCACUAAGGAGCUGCUCUCGAAUUCCUGCACCACAGCUGGGCCGCUCCUGAUGUGGUUUUCCCAGACCCCGCUGGCCCCUGUCUGCUGGGGAUACACGGGGAGGAGCGGCGCUCCAGAUGGGGAGGGGAGGGCCUUGCCGAGAGGACUCCCUGGGGAUUCAGGGCCUGCACAUCCCCUGUCACUUAGGGACUCGAGUGCAACUCUCGGACAACUCCAGGCCUCAGUUUCCUCACUCGGAAAAUGGGUUUGGACUAGACGAUUUCGCCCAGGCUGCCCAGGGCUGGAGUCCAGAAGAGCAGAGCAAGGACCCCCAGGACGUGCCAGGAGACAGCACCCUCCCGCCACUCAUCUCGGUGGGACGGGGCAAGUUGACCCCUAACUCUGGCCUCAGGCUCCACGUCGUCGGUAAAAUGGGCUGGUUGAGCUGGAAGAUCCCGGGACUUAUAGCUGGAAGAGGAAAGAGCAUUUAGUGAGCUCCAACUGUAUGCCGGGGGCUUUUCAGACAUUAUCUCAUUUGUCUGUUUCUUAGUUUCCUGUGGCUGCUGUAAAAAAUGGCCCAGAGCCUCAUAGCUUAAACAACAUGCUUUUAUUACCUUACAGUUCUGGAGGUCCAAAGUCCGAGGUCUGUGUCACUGGGUGAAAGGUGUCAGCCGGGCUCUUCCUUCUGGGGGUUCUAGGGGAAAUUCCCUUCCCGGCUUUUCUAGAAUGGGUGCUGCCUUCAUUCCCACAUCACGUGGCCUUUCCUCCCUCUGCUGUCCCUUCUCUUCUUCCCACUCUGACGCUCCCACCUCCCUCUGAGAAGGAUCCUUGCAAUGACAUUAGGCCCACCUGGAUAAUCGGGGAUAAUGUUCCCAUCUCAAGAUCCUUCACUUCUUCCCAUCUGCAGAAUCCCUUUGCCAUCGGGAGGUGACAUUCACAGGGGUUCCCGGGAUUAGGGCGUGGAUCUCUCUGGAGGGUCAGUAUUCAGUUUAUACAUCUGUCAACACGAAUCUGUCUUGGGGCUCAGUUUCAAAUCCCAGCUUCUACUGCUCCGUAGCUGUGUGAGCCUGGGCAGGGACCCACCUUCUCUGGGCCUGUUUUCUCACCUGUAAAAUAGAGAUAAUGACAGGAUUAUCAGCAAUAAUGCAGGGGAAGCUCUGACCACAGGGCCUGCUACUGUUGUUGAGUGAAUGUAUAUAGUAAUCACACAGUAAUAAUCACAAUGGCUCUCGUUUAUUGAGGACUGACUUUGUGCCCGACGCUAAACUGAGGAAUGAAUUUAAUAGGUAAGCUAAAUAGAUAAGAUCCAGGCCUUCCUGGAACUUAGAUAGAACCCAGAAGACAGACUUAGAACAAACCAUCACAAACAUUACCAGGGAGGCCCAAGGGCGCACAGCUGGGAAGAGGAGAGGUGGACCGCAUUCACACCAAGUCUGUCGGAUUCCCAAGCCCUUAUUUCUCCACGACGCUCCCAGUCUCUCAAGGUCCGUUGGGGCCAACAGAGAACCAGAGAUGAGAAGGGACUUGCCAAAUUCAGAUCCAGUUCUCUGGGCUUCCUGCCCGAGGUUCUCCCCAGGGGAGACUCUGACAUGUAAAGUAGUAAUGGCUGGUGACAGACGUGCUCACAGAGGCUCGCUCUGGGCCAGAAGGCGGGAUGGAUAUUUUACACGACCGAUGUCAUUUGGUCUCCAGGAUGCCCCAGGAGAAAAGACACGUUGUCCUGUUUCCCAGAUGAAGAACCUCAAGUCGCAGGUCCUGUGACAUGCCCAGUGACACCCAGCGAGUUAAUUGCCAAGCAGAGACCCAGGACACUCACCAAGAGCAGGGCCCGGAGUAGAACUUCAAGUUCAAGUUCGCUUGACCCUAAAGCCCGUCCCUAACCCCAGCACAGCCUGCCUCUGCCAGCUGGCCCGUCUCAGUGGGAGGAGGUACCUGGCUGUGGUCCUGCAGUAACCCAGGGUGGAACUUGACAGCCUUCAGGGAGAUGGGUGGCCCGUUGGCACCACCUAGUGGCCUUAAGGAGACAUGCCGCUUCCCCCUGAGCCUCAAGGACCCAGAGGCGCCCGAGAGCUAUUAACAGAACUUCCUCACCCCCCAUCCAGCUGGAUCCUUGUAGCAAACCGACGAGGCUGAGUAAAAGUGAUGAAAAUGACCAUGCUCAUCUCGUUGUUGGGGAAACUGAGGCCCAGACGGGGGAACGACACACCAGCCAGUCAGGGGCAGACCCAGCGGCCUGGAGAGACUGGCAGGGAGGUGGGGCUUGUCCGGCACCUGCCCAACCUCUGGGACGGCAGAACAAGGGGACGCUUCGUGGUGCCUCAGUGGAGGGUGCAGACACUGAGGCCCGGAGGGGACAGGGGCCUGCCCAGGCUCCCACCAAAAGCCAGAGGCCAGGCCGGGACCCCAGGCGGCCGGUCCCCCUGCCCCUGCCCGAGGCAGAGACAGGGGCUCCAGGCCCGUUUGUGGGAAGACCACGGCAGACCAGAGCGUCAGGAUGGAUGUGAUGUGCUCCCCCGGGUGAGGCCUCGGAGGGCCCAGAGCCAGGGCUAGGAGGAAGGUGGGGCUGGUGGGAGCUGACUAUGGGCUGAUUCCUGAGGACGGGGGAGGCGGCUGGUAGGAGAAAUGGACUGUCCUGGUGGAAGUGGUGACGGAGGCUCCUCCCACAGAGACAUCCCAUGAUUCUCAGGGACAGCCAUGGCUGGGGAAAUCCCAUGAUUCUCAGGGACACUCAUGGCUGGGGGAAUCCCGUGAUUCUUAGGACAUAGUCCUUGCCCUCCAGGAGCUUCCUGUCUCCUUUAUUCGGUCUAGCAUCACUGAGCACCUACUCUGAGCCGCCCCAGGUGGGGUGCUAGGGACCCACAGAGCAACCUGGCCCUUCCUGCUGUGCAGGAUCCCACAGCCCAUGGAGCAGACACAUAGAUAACAGAGCUCGAGAACUGAGCAAGAUGAGUCAGUGAGGCCCCGGGGCUAUGGACCUUGCAGCCAGGCACACCUAACUGAUGGUACUAACAAAAACAGUGCCAGCAUUUAUUGAGUGCCUGCUGGUGCCAGGCACUGGUGUAAGCAUGUUCCAUGUAUUAGCUGAUUUGGUGAGAUCCUGAUGCUUACUAGCUGUGUGACUUUGGGCAAAUUACUUCACCUCUCUGAUCUUUGAGAUCCUCAUCUACAAGAUGAGAGCCAUAAUAUCUACCUUACUAGGUUCUUGUGGGGUUUAAAUGUCACGGGGUGUGUGUCUGUGUGUGUGUGGUGCCUGGAAUACAGCAGGUAUUCCAUAAACGGUUGCCACCAUCAAUGUAAUGAGUGCUCUGGUGGAGCGGUGCUGAAGAGGCCUCAUACAACCCCAUGCAUCUGCUGAGUGUUAUCUUAGGUUGGGGAUAGUUGUGAUGGAGGUCAGAGGUCAGGGAGGUCAGAGGUCGGGGAAAGCAGGUUAGGACAGAUCCCUGGACAGGAGGGGAGCCCUGCCAGGGCCUGAGAAGAGGGCUGCCCUGCCCUCUCCUCCUGCUGCUUCUCCUCCUUGGCUCCCUCUGCCCUCCCGGCCCCCCCAUUCCCACACCCCCGCUCUGGGCCAGGCCCCAGUAUCUCUCCCACCUGCUCCCUGUUUCCUCUGCCUCACCACCCACGCCUCCUCCUGGCAGCCAGAGGGAGCUUCUGGAACGGCAAACCCGUCCCUGCCUCCCUCCUGCUGGUCGAUCCCGCCCCCGGGAAAGCCCAUCCGACUGUGAUGUUCAAGGCCCCUCCCUCCGCACCAGCCAUUUCCCUCUAUCCUCCCUGUGUCCACGGAGACCCUGAGGUUCAGUGGUCUGAAGCCACAGCGAGCUGCCCUCCGGUCCCUAAGAGACCCUGCAGGCUCCCCCCGGGGGGUGUCCCAGGCCUUUGUCCCCCGCCUCACCUUCCAGACUCCUGUGUUUCUCCUGCAGGGGGCCUUCCACGCACGCCCCCAUAUUUUCAGAGAGAGCACCCCCACGCCAGCUUUACUCCCACCCCCGGGCCACAGGGUCCCCCACACUGGCUCCUUGGUCCCUCUCCCUUCCUAGAGGAUUACGUUAAAGGAAGCGAGACUGUCAUCAGGCAAUGCUUAGGAUGGCGGCCCAGUCAACAUCAGAGUGUCGAGUGAGGAUCCCGACCCUCACGUCCCCAGCACUCACUCGGCCCCAGGCCCUGUGCUAGGGGCUUCCCUUGUAGAAACGCCUAUAGGAAGUGGGAACGGUUAUUAUCCCCCUUUUAUAGACGGGGAAACUGAGUCAAAGAGGGACGCACGCAAGCGAGCGUUAGAGCCAGGCAGGCCGGCCCUCUCAUGGCACAGGCGCUGUUCCCUCUGCCUGGGACUGCCUCCCCCGACCCUUCCAUGGCGGGCUGGGUCCACCCUCAGGCUCAAACCCACCCCAACCCUCCUGAAGAGGCCUUCCCUCUGACCACUGUCACAUGCCACCCUGUUCAUCUUCACAGGAUGCGUCUCCAGCUGUUUCUUUGGGUUCGCCAUGCUGGUUUUUGCCAUUUACACACACAGUCACGCUCAGCCAUGACAUCAACAACGGUGGUCUUGCUUCCUGUCUGGCCCCAAGGCAUGGCACAGUGCGGCCAGCCUCCGAGAUGGCUCCCCAGAGAUCCUGGCGUCCACACCUUUGUGUCAUCCCCUCCCACAGCCAGCAGCUCGGACUUGUGUCACCAACAGGAUACUGCGUAGGUGACAGAGUGUGACUUCCGAGCUUAGGUCAUAGGAGACAUCGCAGCUGCCGCCUUGUUCUCGCGGGUCGCUCAGUCUGGGGAAGCCAGCCGCCGUGUGGUGAGGACAUCCAAGCGGCCCUGUGGAGAGGCCCAUGUGGCCAGGAAGUGAGGCCUCUGCCAACAGCCAGUGUGAGCCUGCCACCAGGGGAGGAAGCCACCUUGGAAGAGGGUCCUCCAGCCCCAGUCCAGCCUUUGGAUGCCUGUGGCCCGGUCGACAGCCUGACACAGCCUCACGGGAAACCUGAGCUGGAACCACACAGCUCCCAAGCUCCUGACCCACAGAAACAAUGUGUAUGGAUGGCCGGCAAAUGAUGACACCACCUCCCACUCGCCGGGCCCUUCCUCUGUCUGGGGCACUGAAUUAAGUGGCUCACCUGUCUUGGUUCAUAGUCAAUCGUCACAGCAACCUAUGAGCCAGCCAUCACCCCACGCCCAUUUUAUGGAUGAAGAACCAGGUACAGUGAGGUUGAAUAACUCACCCAGCAUCACACCGGCAGAGCCCAGACUCGCUCCCUGGCAGGUGGGGGCCGUAGGAUUCACUGCUGCACCACACGGUGGCUGCUGUCCCAUCCCAGUCCUCCUUGCCAACCCCCUGGGGCUUGGAGGGGUCCCUCCCACAGGUUGUGUGGCUCUGCAGAGGCUGACCUUGGAGGUGAGUGGACACGGAGGUGGAGCUGGGAAAUGCCAAGCUCGUGACCCGGAGCAACUCCUCUCAUCCGGCUUCUGGGAGCUCUGUCCUCUCCCCACCUGUGGACGCCAGUUGGACGGGAUGGGGGCAGGGCCGCUUCUGUUGAGUCACUCGCAGUGGAUCCGAG